GGUUGAGAGGUUAGAGCACAAGACUCCCACACCCGUGGUCUGAGGUCCAAAUCCCCUCAUU
rnacentral:tRNA from 1 species